ensembl:lncRNA
AAACCAGCAGUGAGAUCAUAUAGUUUGGAAGAAACUUUGUCCAGGAGCCACACCUUCCACACCAUGGGGCAGUUCACCAUCAACGUGCGGCAGGAGAACCAUGUGACCACGGGUAAAUCCUUCGCACUGACUAGAUUGCAGAUUACAGGAAGUCUCUGAUUUCCUUUUUAUCCCCUCUGUCAUCUCAAGACAACAUCGUCCUUCAGAGGCUUCCUGUGACAUGGUUUUGAACACAGUCAAAGAUCCACCCGAAAGUAUGUGAGGAUUGUGUGGGAAAAUGUCUGCUGCCUCUGGGCCUGGCUAGCUCCUCACUAAUAGGUCCUUGAUGUUUACUGUAUAUUUAAAUCCCAUAAUUUAUGUUCUGGACGAUCAGGUCACAUAAAUCUGAAAUCCACUGGUCAAGAUGAACACUGUCUUUAAGGUUUGCAAGUUCCAGGUAUUACUGUAGCCAAACAUAAAAAGUUAAUGGUAGGUGAUGUAGUUUAACAAGGAUUACAGUGGUUCUUUUUCCUUUUUCUGAAGCAUCACACAUUCCCCAAGCCAAGGACCAGAAUGGAAACUUUGCUGCAAAGGAGACCAGCAGGCAGAAGUCCAAACCUCUGGCGGAGCUCAACACGGAGGAAGUCUGCCUGUGGUUCAGCAGCAUUGGACUGCAGAAGUGUCAGCCCCUCAUUAGAGAUGCAGAUCUGUGUGGAUCCCAUUUUACCUCCAUCAAUCUGAACACUCUGGAUCUGCUGCAGCUGUCCAGUGUGGAGGAGCGAGAGCGGCUACUGUCUGCCAUCUACCAGGAGCUCCACCCUCCAGACAGCCUGUCUCAGAGAGUGGACUGCCUCCUGGGUAAAAUGCCCUCCGACUGCAUAUCAUAUAGUGGUUGGGUUUCUCAAAUGCCAUCUCAUAAAAAAUACAUUCAGUUCAAAUGUAGAAAUGAAAAUGGCUGAAUUAUUUUCUUCUGAUGUUUCCUCCUUGCAUCACAGAGGCCUUUGGCACGCACAACGUGGAGAAAUUCGCUGCUGCCUUGGUGACGAUGAGCAAGUCACAGUCCUCCCCUCUCAUCAGCUGUGCCAACCAGAAUCGAGCUUCAGUCAAGUUCAGACCAAGUAUAUUAGUAGCACAGAGGAAUUCGCAACUCAUCGAAAUAACAAUAAAUGCAAUGGAACAGAUUGUCCACCUCAGGACCCCCCGGGACACAACGGUUGGCAAAGUGAAAGAGUCCUGCUUUAAAAUGCUGGGUGUGAAAAUCGAUAAGGACGCCCACAUCUUAAAAUGCAGAGAGGAUGAACUUUCCCCGGAAAAGCAUAUCGGUGACCUGCCCGGCUCUGAGAACCGACUCGUGGAGCUGCACUUGUGCAAAAAGGAAAAACAUAAGGAAGCAGAACUUGCAAACUCCAAAGACAGUCAGGAGAACGGCACAGAACCCCGGAACCUGAAGCACAACAGUGAGAAGAUUCGCGAACUGCACAAACAGGUUGACUCCCUCCAAAACGCCAUCCUACAGGUCCAAGAGCUCCACCAGGGGUUGGUUGCUUUCUGCAAUGAGCUGAGAGGCAUGGAAACUGAAACAGAAACUGAGGGGCUGAACACAGUGGAGCUAGAGAGGCGUGUAGCUGAGGCUCGAGGCCAUCUCACAGAGAAAAGGCAGAGCCUUCAGGGGUUGAGGGAGAAACUCAGCAGCAUGUCCUCACCCAAGAACAGGCAGGCAGAGGGCCAUCUGACGGACAAAAUGAGACUGAAUUGCCUGGUGUUUAAAGAGGAGAUAACGCUCGUCCACCUCAAUCGGCAGGUCAACCACCUGCAAUCGGCCCUAGAGGAACAACAAGCCAAGGAGAAAACAGAGAGGAAGUGCUGCUCCACCCUCGGCCAGCUGUUGUCAUUCCAGUCCCCUGCCAUGCUGCUGGCCACCCAAGAGACGAGGGCUUCAGACGGAUAUGGCUUCGCUGCUCAGCAUGUACCUGGACAGGGCCUGGUGGUGGUGAGGGUGCAGGACUCUCAGAUCUGUGUUGGGGACAGGUAAUUUUCAGCUAUUUUAAAAAAUGUUACAGAACACAGGUUGUGUUAAACCUCAACCAGACCUAAAACGUGAGUUUGGGGGUGAGUUUCAUGGCAGUUUUUGGCCAUUAUGCGAAUCUUUGCCAUUCGUCAUCACAUGUGCAGGCCCAAAACAAUGUUACAUUAAUAUACUAUUGAAAAAAAUCUAUGACUGAAGAGAAAAUAAUAAAACAAAACACAUGACGGAAUAUCGCCA